UCUAGGCCCAGGGAAGGCCACUAAGGGCUCCAGAGUGUUCUUCAUGCCACAGGACUUCAGGAUCACUUCAGGAUCACGGGUAAAAAUUCCACUACAGAAAUGCCAGAAUAUGGUCCAGGAAUGGCAUCAUGUGAGGAGAAA
rnacentral:lncRNA from 1 species